UACGUAGGGGGCAAGCGUUGUCCGGAAUCAUUGGGCGUAAAGAGCGUGUAGGCGGCUUGGUAAGUCCGCUGUGAAAGUCCAGGGCUCAACCCUGGAAAGCCGGUGGAAACUGUCAAGCUUGAGUCCGGAAGAGGCGAGUGGAAUUCCUGGUGUAGCGGUGAAAUGCGCAGAUAUCAGGAGGAACACCGGUGGCGAAGGCGGUGGUCUGGGCCGGCACUGACGCUGAGGAGCGAAAGCGUGGGGAGCGAACAGG
rnacentral:rRNA from 1 species